CCCGUACAGCUUUGCUGUUUGCUCGCUUGUUUUGUGACGCCAUACAACAAUCAUGCAGGAUUCUGCCGCGUGGCGCUGCCGAUCAAGGUCUUGCACGAUCUGACGGCGCAUGAAAUGCUACCUGGUGAAGAGCAAUUUUCAUU